AUGCACCGGGCUCUAAUUUGCAUACCCCGUGUCACCGGAGCCAGCCCUGCCUGCAGUUUCCUGAACCCAGAACAACUGAUUCUAAGGCCCCACUCUAGCAACGGCCUUCACAAAUCUGCCAAAGUACUCAUCAGUGACAGCCUGGACCCCUGCUGCCGGAAGAUCCUGCAAGAUGGCGGGCUGCAGGUGGUGGAGAAGCAGAACUUGAGCAAGGAGGAGCUGAUAGCUGAACUCCAGGACUGUGAAGGCCUCAUUGUCCGGUCAGCUACUAAGGUCACUGCUGAUGUCAUCAAUGCAGCAGAGAAGCUCCAGGUGGUGGGCAGGGCUGGCACAGGUGUGGACAAUGUGGAUCUGGAGGCUGCCACGAGGAAGGGCAUCCUAGUCAUGAACAUCCCCAACGGGAACAGCCUCAGUGCUGCGGAACUCACCUGUGGGAUGAUCAUGUGCCCGGCCAGGCGGAUACCCCAAGCGACAGCUUCGAUGAAAGAUGGCAAAUGGGACCGGAAGAAGUUCAUAGGGACAGAACUAAACGGGAAGACACUGGGAAUUCUUGGCCUCGGUAGAAUCGGAAGAGAGGUGGCCAUCCGAAUGCAGUCCUUUGGAAUGAAGACUGUAGGCUAUGAUCCCAUCAUCUCUCCUGAAGUGGUGGCCUCCUUUGGUGUUCAGCAGCUGCCGCUGGAGGAGAUCUGGCCUCUCUUCAUAACUGUCCAUACCCGACUCCUGCCCUCCACCACAGGCUUGCUGAAUGACAGCACCUUUGCUCAGUGCAAGAAAGGCAUGCGAGUGGUGAACUGUGGUCGAGGAGGCAUUGUGGAUGAAGUUGCUCUGCUCUGAGCCCUGCAGUCUGGUCAGUGUGCUGGGGCUGCACUGGAUGUGUUUACAGAAGAGCCACCACAGGACCGGGCCUUAGUGGACCACAAGAAUGUCAUCAGUUGUCCCCACCUGGGUGCCAGCACCAAGGAAGCCCAGAGCCACUGUGGGGAGGAAAUAGCAGUCCAGUUUGUGGACAUGGUGAAGGGGAAAUCUCUGACAGGUGUCGUGAACGUCCAGUCCCUCAACAGUGCCUUCUCUCCACACCCCAAGCCUUGGAUUGGCCUGGCAGAAGCAUUAGGCACACUGAUGCACACCUGGGCUGGCUCCCCUAAAGGGACCAUCCAGGUGGUUACUACACAAGGGCAUCCUUCUGUGUCCCCAGGAACAUCUCUGAAGAAUGCUGGGACCUGCCUGAGCCCUGCAGUCAUUGUCGGCCUUCUGAGAAAAGCAUCUAAGCAGGCAGAUGUGAACUUGGUGAGCGCUAAGCUACUAGUGAAAGAGGCUGGCCUCAAUGUCACCACCUUCCACAACCCUGGGGUUCCAGGGAAGCAGGACAGCGGGGAAUGCCUUCUGACUGUGGCCCUGGCAGGUGCCCCCUACCAAGAUGUGGGCUUGGUCCAGGGCACCACACCAAUGCUGCAGAUGCUCAACGGAUCUGUCUUCAGACCAGAGGUGCCACUAUGCAGGGGCCAACCCCUGCUCAUAUUCCGGGCUCAGCCCUCCAACCCUGUGAUGCUGCCCACUAUUGAUCGGCCUCCUGGCAGAGGCGGGUGUACAGCUGCUGUCCUACCAAACCUCCAUGGUGUCUGACUGAGAGCUCUGGCAUGUCAUGGGCCUCUCCUCUCUGCUGCCCAUCCUGGAAACAUGGAAGCAGCAUGUAUUGGAGGCUUUCCAGUUCUGCUUCCGACCCUGGGGCUCAGCACUCUCAUACCCACAGGCUCUUCUGAAGAAACCUGCUCACUGUGACCUAUAG